AUUGAACGCUGGCGGCAGGCCUAACACAUGCAAGUCGAACGAGUGGCGGACGGGUGAGUAAUGUCUGGGAAACUGCCCGAUGGUGGGGGGUAACUACUGGAAACGGUAGCUAAUACCGCAUACCAUCGGAUGUGCCCAGGUGGGAUUAGCUAGUAGGUGGGGUAACGGGUCACCUAGGCGACGAUCCCUAGCUGGUCUGAGCGGAUGACCAGCGACACUGGAACUGAGACACGGUACAGACUCCUAAGGGAGGAAACAGUGGGGAAUAUUGCACAAUGGGGGAAAUCCUGAUGCAGGCAUGCAGGGUGUAUGAAGAAGGCCGUCGGGUUGUAAAGUACUUUCAGCGAGGAGGCGUUACUCGCAGAAGAAGCACCGGCUAACUCCGUGCCAGCAGCCGCGGUAAUAC
rnacentral:rRNA from 1 species